rnacentral:rRNA from 1 species
AUUGAACGCUGGCGGCAUGCCUUACACAUGCAAGUCGAACGGUAACGCGGGGCAACCUGGCGACGAGUGGCGAACGGGUGAGUAAUGCAUCGGAACGUGCCCAGUAGUGGGGGAUAGCCCGGCCAAAGCCGGAUUAAUACCGCAUACGACCUACGGGUGAAAGCGGGGGACCGUAAGGCCGCGCGCUAUUGGAGCGGCCGAUAUCGGAUUGGGUUGUUGGUGGGGUAAAGGCCUACCAAGCCGACGACCUGUAGCUGGUCUGAGAGGACGACCAGCCACACUGGGACUGAGACACGGCCCAGACUCCUACGGGAGGCAGCAGUGGGGAAUUUUGGACAAUGGGGGCAACCCUGAUCCAGCCAUGCCGCGUGCGGGAAGAAGGCCUUCGGGUUGUAAACCGCUUUUGUCAGGGAAGAAACGCUCUGGGCUAAUACCCUGGGGUAAUGACGGUACCUGAAGAAUAAGCACCGGCUAACUACGUGCCAGCCGCCGCCGUAA